AAAGAAUAAAUACACUUGUGGGGAUGAAUGUUUUCACAGCAAUAUUUGACCAAAAUACUGAAAGCAGAAAAUAACUUCAAAAGAUGAUAACAGAUGUGGGGGUGGGGGAGAGGGUAACGAGGGGAGAAAAGAACACAAACGGAAUGGCAAAAGGUGGGUUUUAAAAGUUCCGUUUCAGACCAAACAAGUUUAGUCAAAAGACAGGAACAUACAAGGACAUGAACUCUCACUAUUCCAUUCCAGCUACCUAGCCCAAUGGUUAAUAUCUGUUUUAUUUAAAUGUUUCAGUAAGACACCUUGUGCUCCCAGAACUUAUAUUGACGUCUUAAGCUACUCUCUGAACAUGGCAGUAUUUGGAAUGAGGUUGCUAGACCCUUAUAAAAACUUGAAAGGUGCCCAAAAGGAAAACCCACGGAAAGAUGCAGGCUACCACCUACUGGCCAGAGAAAGAAGACUCUUUGAUCAGACUUCCCAGCUCAGGACUAACACAGACACCCUCGGAAGAUCAUCUAGGAACUAAACGGAGGUGUUUGGGCAACGCGCCAUGGUUACUUAAACCUUGACUAGUUCUUUCAACCCAUUAGUGAUGUUUCAAGUAAAAAUGAAAUACUCGGGGAGCGUGAUGAGCUUUAGGAACACCUCUAGGUCCUUCAAAUGCAAACGUCAUCUCCAGUAUUCAGUCAGAAUCCAGCACCGCCUGGCUCUAGCCCCACCCUUCCAGUCUUCAAAGGUAACUGCCUCCUUCCAUAACUGCAACAGCCGCCUCAAAGCCCCAGCGCUAAAGGCUUCCUGGGACCCUCUAUUCUGUCUCGUAGCGGAAUCAAAAGGGCGACAGGGUUGCUACGGCUUAACGGGCAUUUGCGUACGUGUAAGCUCUUCCUAGUUGUGGCCAAAGCCAUGUGCCUGGCUGCACCCGGGAGUGAGACAGGCAUUCCUCCUUCGGGAAAGACGAGGGCCGGGAGGGUCUGCGCUUCAGACGCCCACGCUAUACACGUCUUCCCGUGCUCUGGGUUACAGAAACCAGCGCGCUGUGUCGCGCAAAAAUAAGUGAGAUCCGAUCAAGAGGGCAAGCUGAGGGGCGCAAGGAGAAACAUCAGCCCCGGAGAGGGCAGUGCGUGGGGCGGCGAACAGCUCUCGGGGACCAACAAAGGGCCGGUGCCAUCGGAAGUGAUGCGAAGGAAGGUUGCAGCGGAGACAAUUUGGACUUUGUACCGGGAAAAAACGCAGCCAAGAACAAAAAUGUGAAGCGCCAUAACAUUAGCCGCAAGACUUCAGACAACGCGAGAAUUGUGACUUGAGAUCGGCUUUUCCUCCCCCACCGCUGCAGCCCGCCCAUUCCUGUGACGCACGCAUCGAAUCCGGACCGCCUACGCCAAUCAAAGCGGGAGAGGUCCGGAAAGGGAGCUCAAGCCCCGCCCCUCGCGCGCAGGAUCUCGGGAGAGCGUCACCCGGCUUAUAAAAGCGGGCGCGCAGCGUGCUGAAGUCUCUUUUGCUGCUGUUUGGUUGCUCGUAUGUAGUAGGAGUGUGCGAAUGACAUGGGGCCCCUAUUUGCGAGCGAUCAAGAUGCGGGAGACAAAGGGCGGUUAUGGUGCUGGCCGCAGGCCGUCAACUCUGCAGAAAUGUAGUAAAGGCUAGCUCGCGGGCCACCAUGUGAAAUCGAUACGAUGUGAGGCCGCGCCACGCCUUGGCCACCGCAGGGUCAGAUGGGAACGGCUGAACUCGUGACUGUUGAAGAGUAGAAGACGUAUUAAGGUACGAUAGUAAUGGCUGAGAACUUCCAGUCACCUUAGAUCUUCAUAUCUAAAUUUUGAAAAUGAACUUUAUGUCAAAUAAAAGGUUGCUUGGUGUGUAAUAA
rnacentral:sRNA from 1 species